UACGAAGGGUGCAAGCGUUAAUCGGAAUUACUGGGCGUAAAGCGUGCGCAGGCGGUUUUGUAAGUCUGACGUGAAAUCCCCGGGCUCAACCUGGGAAUUGCGUUGGAGACUGCAAGGCUAGAAUCUGGCAGAGGGGGGUAGAAUUCCACGUGUAGCAGUGAAAUGCGUAGAGAUGUGGAGGAACACCGAUGGCGAAGGCAGCCCCCUGGGUCAAGAUUGACGCUCAUGCACGAAAGCGUGGGGAGCGAACAGG
rnacentral:rRNA from 1 species